UGGCGAACGGGUGAGUAACACGUGAGUAACCUGCCCUUAACUCUGGGAUAAGCCUUGGAAACGGGGUCUAAUACUGGAUAUUGACUUUACCUCGCAUGGGGUUUUGUUGAAAGAUUUAUUGGUUUUGGAUGGACUCGCGGCCUAUCAGCUUGUUGGUGAGGUAAUGGCUCACCAAGGCGACGACGGGUAGCCGGCCUGAGAGGGUGACCGGCCACACUGGGACUGAGACACGGCCCAGACUCCUACGGGAGGCAGCAGUGGGGAAUAUUGCACAAUGGGCGAAAGCCUGAUGCAGCGACGCCGCGUGAGGGAUGACGGCCUUCGGGUUGUAAACCUCUUUCAGUAGGGAACAAGGCCAGCAUUUUUGUUGGUUGAGGGUACUUGCAGAAGAAGCGCCGGCUAACUACGUGCCAGCAGCCGCGGUAAUACGUAGGGCGCAAGCGUUAUCCGGAAUUAUUGGGCGUAAAGAGCUCGUAGGCGGUUUGUCGCGUCUGCCGUGAAAGUCCGGGGCUCAACUCCGGAUCUGCGGUGGGUACGGGCAGACUAGAGUGAUGUAGGGGAGACUGGAAUUCCUGGUGUAGCGGUGAAAUGCGCAGAUAUCAGGAGGAACACCGAUGGCGAAGGCAGGUCUCUGGGCAUUAACUGACGCUGAGGAGCGAAAGC
rnacentral:rRNA from 1 species